rnacentral:lncRNA from 1 species
AGUCCCUCUGCAAAUGCAAAUGCAAAUGCAAAUGCAAAACUCAAACAACAACAACACUAUUUCCAAGAAGGAAAAAUUUCGCUGCCAGCUCCCACCAAAAAGAGGUCGGAUUAAAGCAAAAAUUUUUGAGGAAUGCAAAGAGUUAAUGAACAGAAUUCGCAGAUGGAGGCCAUGCACAAAGUAAUGAGUAGGAUCUUCACACAACAGUUAAGUUGCAUGAUUCAGAAAAGAGUUGAGUUGAGUUGUAUUUGUGUUAAAUAACAUGGGCUAUGGCUUGUGGUGGUGGAUUUUGAUCUUUCUUCCAUGGAUCUAUCGAUGAGCCAAAUGGAGUGAAGCAGAAAACGAGUCUUGUACUCGACUCCAAAUAUGAUAAUGGAUUAAGAUUUUAAAAAAGGCUUUACUAUUUUGUAUCGCUGUUUAUAGACGAGCAAGAACUUAUUUUCUGAUUUUAUUUCCUCCAAUUUCUU